ACAGUAAAUUUUAAUAUGCAAGUAAAACUUAUUUUACUAAACGAUGAUUACUCCUUCUAUAUUCAUAUUCCUAAACACAUACAGUUUCUUAAUGUAAUUAAGUUUUUAACUAAAAAAAGGGAAAUGCAUUAUUGAGGCGAUAGGAUUACUGGGUGGCUAUAAACACAUCUGCUGCACAGCUGACAUUUAUCUUCUACAAUGAGCAGUGACAAUUUUAUUUUUUAAUAAUCAGUAUGGACUAAUCCUGAUGAUUUUUUUUAACAUUUUCAAAUAGGGCUGCAUAUGGCUUAAAAUUAAUAUAUACAUGUGUACCUAUAUAAUAUUCUUAUUUAUUAAUGGACUUCCUACAUAGCUCAUAUUGACGUUAGAUUUAAAUGAAAUUCCAGAAGGGUUUUCUAUAGGUAAGUCAUACAUUGGAUUUCCAUAUUACCUAUGAUUAUUGAAGUAUUUAUUUCUGUUUUUAAGACUUCAGAGCAAUUUUGCUGGUCAUUUGUUUUCUGUGUUUUUAUUUUGAAAUUGUUCUUUGAGGCAUUGUCCUAUUACAUUUUUAAGGUAUGUUAAUAAAAUAAUAUUUUUAAUGAAA
rnacentral:misc_RNA from 1 species